AACAGUGUUAACCCUUUGUGACUGAUGUGGUAGUCUAGCAGACACCAACAGACACAAAAGAGUAUUUUCUACCGUUAUUUUCCAUACAUCUACUCUCUCGUUCUCUGUACCUUCUUAUUGUGUACUCAUGCCUAUGUUAGUUUGUUCAGAUAGAUUGAUGUAAGCACACGUGCCAUUUUAAGCGAAAAAGUGUCUGCGAGUCAACCAUAUCUACGGUAAGUUUUGUUAUUAUGGAGCAUUCAAACAUAUCGCAAGAUCCACAUUGUUCUAAGARAACCUCAUCUGGAACUUUUAAAAACCGAAAUGAGCUAAUACUACAGUGGCUGGAGAAAGAGAGUGAGCAUGAGUUCAGCGAUAUGGAUGAUGAAUGCAAUGACCCCAAUUUUCAACCAGAAACGGCACUUUUAGAUAAUGAUGAAGACAAUGAAGAACAACAUGCGACUACCUCUGAGACACAAAAUAUUUGUGAAGAAGUGAAUCAACACCCAACAAGCGACUACUACAAAGGUAAGAAAGGAUUUAUGUGGAGUGCAAGAGAGCGACCAAAAACAUCUAGAACAGCAUCCCAUAACAUCRUUAGAUUACCAGGUCGC